GUAGUUUUGGGGACCAACCCAUACCACUAAAAGUUUGCUGUGCUUUCUUUUUCCUGAGCCUGUAUUUCCUAUGCGAGUUAUUUAGGUAUUGAGGUCAUUGAAGGACGUCAUUCAGCAAUUUGUCUGAGGUCUUCUCAGUCCUAAGUGAGAAGGGCAAAUUCACCACCACUCAUGCUCAUGUUGGGUGUCUGUGUAACCAGCUUUGUACUUUAAAAAAAAAAUGCAACUUGUUAUAUACUUAGCAAUUUUUCAGUUUAUUUGGAUAAGAGACCGUCUCAAAUGUUUCUCCUUUAUUUGAUGGCCUUCGAGUUUCUAAGCAAGCAUUCCUAAACUGUUGAUGGGGAAGCCUGAUCCAGUCAAUCUAGAAGUCAGAGCUGC
rnacentral:lncRNA from 1 species